rnacentral:rRNA from 2 species
GCAGUCGAACGAGUUCUGAUUAUUGAAAGGUGCUUGCAUCUUGAUUUAAUUUUGAACGAGUGGCGGACGGGUGAGUAACACGUGGGUAACCUGCCCUUAAGUGGGGGAUAACAUUUGGAAACAGAUGCUAAUACCGCAUAAAUCCAAGAACCGCAUGGUUCUUGGCUGAAAGAUGGCGUAAGCUAUCGCUUUUGGAUGGACCCGCGGCGUAUUAGCUAGUUGGUGAGGUAACGGCUCACCAAGGCAAUGAUACGUAGCCGAACUGAGAGGUUGAUCGGCCACAUUGGGACUGAGACACGGCCCAAACUCCUACGGGAGGCAGCAGUAGGGAAUCUUCCACAAUGGACGCAAGUCUGAUGGAGCAACGCCGCGUGAGUGAAGAAGGCUUUCGGGUCGUAAAACUCUGUUGUUGGAGAAGAAUGGUCGGCAGAGUAACUGUUGUCGGCGUGACGGUAUCCAACCAGAAAGCCACGGCUAACUACGUGCCAGCAGCCGCGGUAAUACGUAGGUGGCAAGCGUUAUCCGGAUUUAUUGGGCGUAAAGCGAGCGCAGGCGGUUUUUUAAGUCUGAUGUGAAAGCCCUCGGCUUAACCGAGGAAGUGCAUCGGAAACUGGGAAACUUGAGUGCAGAAGAGGACAGUGGAACUCCAUGUGUAGCGGUGAAAUGCGUAGAUAUAUGGAAGAACACCAGUGGCGAAGGCGGCUGUCUGGUCUGUAACUGACGCUGAGGCUCGAAAGCAUGGGUAGCGAACAGGAUUAGAUACCCUGGUAGUCCAUGCCGUAAACGAUGAAUGCUAGGUGUUGGAGGGUUUCCGCCCUUCAGUGCCGCAGCUAACGCAUUAAGCAUUCCGCCUGGGGAGUACGACCGCAAGGUUGAAACUCAAAGGAAUUGACGGGGGCCCGCACAAGCGGUGGAGCAUGUGGUUUAAUUCGAAGCAACGCGAAGAACCUUACCAGGUCUUGACAUCUUUUGAUCACCUGAGAGAUCAGGUUUCCCCUUCGGGGGCAAAAUGACAGGUGGUGCAUGGUUGUCGUCAGCUCGUGUCGUGAGAUGUUGGGUUAAGUCCCGCAACGAGCGCAACCCUUAUGACUAGUUGCCAGCAUUUAGUUGGGCACUCUAGUAAGACUGCCGGUGACAAACCGGAGGAAGGUGGGGAUGACGUCAAAUCAUCAUGCCCCUUAUGACCUGGGCUACACACGUGCUACAAUGGAUGGUACAACGAGUUGCGAGACCGCGAGGUCAAGCUAAUCUCUUAAAGCCAUUCUCAGUUCGGACUGUAGGCUGCAACUCGCCUACACGAAGUCGGAAUCGCUAGUAAUCGCGGAUCAGCACGCCGCGGUGAAUACGUUCCCGGGCCUUGUACACACCGCCCGUCACACCAUGAGAGUUUGUAACACCCGAAGCCGGUGGCGUAACCC